CCUACGGGUGGCAGCAGUGAGGAAUAUUGGUCAAUGGUCGGGAGACUGAACCAGCCAAGCCGCGUGAGGGAGGAAGGUACAGCGUAUCGUAAACCUCUUUUGUCAGGGAACAAAGGCGGGGACGUGUCCCCGGCUGAGUGUACCUGAAGAAAAAGCAUCGGCUAACUCCGUGCCAGCAGCCGCGGUAAUACGGAGGAUGCGAGCGUUAUCCGGAUUUAUUGGGUUUAAAGGGUGCGCAGGCGGUCUUUUAAGUCAGCGGUCAAAGCCCGGGGCUCAACCCCGGCCCGCCGUUGAAACUGGCAGUCUCGAGUGGGAGAGAAGUAGGCGGAAUGCGCGGUGUAGCGGUGAAAUGCAUAGAUAUCGCGCAGAACUCCGAUUGCGAAGGCAGCAUGCCGGAUCCACACUGACGCUGAGGCACGAAAGCGUGUGUAUCGAACAGGAUUAGAUACCCUAGUAGUC
rnacentral:rRNA from 1 species